AGCAGUAGCCACGGUAAUACGAAGGGGGCUAGCGUUGUUCGGAAUUACUGGGCGUAAAGCGCACGUAGGCGGAUAUUUAAGUCAGGGGUGAAAUCCCGCAGCUCAACUGCGGAACUGCCUUUGAUACUGGGUAUCUUGAGUAUGGAAGAGGUUAGUGGAAUUGCGAGUGUAGAGGUGAAAUUCGUAGAUAUUCGCAGGAACACCAGUGGCGAAGGCGGCUAACUGGUCCAUAACUGACGCUGAGGUGCGAAAGCGUGGGGAGCAAACAGGAUUAGAUACCCGUGUAGUCCCUGUCUCUUAUAC
rnacentral:rRNA from 1 species